CCUACGGGUGGCAGCAGUGAGGAAUAUUGGUCAAUGGACGCAAGUCUGAACCAGCCAUGCCGCGUGCAGGAUGACGGCUCUAUGAGUUGUAAACUGCUUUUGUACGAGGGUAAACCCCGAUACGUGUAUCGGGUUGAAAGUAUCGUACGAAUAAGGAUCGGCUAACUCCGUGCCAGCAGCCGCGGUAAUACGGAGGAUUCAAGCGUUAUCCGGAUUUAUUGGGUUUACAGGGUGCGUAGGCGGUUCGAUAAGUUAGCGGUGAAAUGCCUGGGCUCAACACCGGCACUGCCUCUGAUACUGUCGGGCUAGAGAAUAGUUGCGGUAGGCGGAAUGUAUGGUGUAGCGGUGAAAUGCUUAGAGAUCAUACAGAACACCGAUUGCGAAGGCAGCUUACCAAACUACGUCUGACGUUGAGGCACGAAAGCGUGGGGAGCAAACAGGAUUAGAUACCCUGGUAGUC
rnacentral:rRNA from 1 species